ACGGGUGAGUAAUACAUCGGAACGUGCCCUGUAGUGGGGGAUAACUAGUCGAAAGAUUAGCUAAUACCGCAUACGACCUGAGGGUGAAAGUGGGGGACCGCAAGGCCUCAUGCUAUAGGAGCGGCCGAUGUCUGAUUAGCUAGUUGGUGAGGUAAAGGCUCACCAAGGCGACGAUCAGUAGCUGGUCUGAGAGGACGAUCAGCCACACUGGGACUGAGACACGGCCCAGACUCCUACGGGAGGCAGCAGUGGGGAAUUUUGGACAAUGGGCGAAAGCCUGAUCCAGCAAUGCCGCGUGUGUGAAGAAGGCCUUCGGGUUGUAAAGCACUUUUGUCCGGAAAGAAAUGGCUCUGGUUAAUACCUGGGGUCGAUGACGGUACCGGAAGAAUAAGGACCGGCUAACUACGUGCCAGCAGCCGCGGUAAUACGUAGGGUCCAAGCGUUAAUCGGAAUUACUGGGCGUAAAGCGUGCGCAGGCGGUUGUGCAAGACCGAUGUGAAAUCCCCGAGCUUAACUUGGGAAUUGCAUUGGUGACUGCACGGCUAGAGUGUGUCAGAGGGGGGUAGUAUUCCACGUGU
rnacentral:rRNA from 1 species